rnacentral:piRNA from 1 species
UGAGAAUAUUCAGAAGACGGAGCCCCACUU